GAAAUGCGAUAAGUAGUGUGAAUUGCAGAAUUCAGUGAAUCAUCGAAUCUUUGAACGCACAUUGCGCCCCUUGGUAUUCCAUGGGGCAUGCCUGUUCGAGCGUCAUUUGUACCCUCAAGCUCUGCUUGGUGUUGGGUGUUUGUCCCCGUCUCCGCGCGUGGACUCGCCCCAAAGUGAUUGGCAGCCGGCGUACUGGUCCCGGAGCGCAGCACAUGUCGCGCAAACGAGUGCCUUGGUACGGCGGCAUCCAUAAGCCCCUCUCUCACGCUCUUGACCUCGGAUCAGGUAGGGAUACCCGCUGAACUUAAGC
rnacentral:misc_RNA from 1 species